UUUUUUAAACUUUUAGCUUCGUUAUGAUGAUGAAGUAAAAAGAGUUGUUGCAGAACCAGUUGAAUUGGCCCAAGAGUUCAGAAAGUUUGAUCUAUCAACACCAUGGGAAACAUUUCCUGCCUACAGAGCAGAAAAGAGUCCUGUAGAGGUGAUAGCUGCUCCAAAAGAAUCUAAACCAGAGGAGGAUAAGAAAUGAUUUUCUCUUUCCUGUCGAUAGAACCAGAUUGUAGAGUAUCCCAGAUCACGGUGUGGAAAGGUGACCUACAAUACUUGUAUUUAAUGUUUAAGAUGGUGUGAAAUAGAAGUUGCUUAGGUUAGAAACCUAUAGAGUAAACCCACAUUGUUGAAUUUAGUUUAUUCAUGUUUCAUAAUCUAUACAGCUAAAUAAAAUUUCAAGGUAAAA